CUACGGGUGGCUGCAGUAGGGAAUAUUGCGCAAUGGUCGAAAGACUGACGCAGCGACGCCGCGUGUGGGAGGAAGCCUUUCGGGGUGUAAACCACUGUCAGGAGGGAAGAACCUCGAGUGCUCGAAUAGGGCUCUCGACUGACGGUACCUCCAGAGGAAGCGCCGGCUAACUCCGUGCCAGCAGCCGCGGUAAGACGGAGGGCGCAAGCGUUGUUCGGAAUUACUGGGCGUAAAGCGCACGCAGGCGGUUUGUUAAGUCCAAUGUGAAAGCCCGGGGCUCAACCCCGGAAUUGCAUCGGAUACUGACAGACUGGAGACAGGUAGAGGCUAGCGGAAUUCCUGGUGUAGCGGUGGCAUGCGUAGAUAUCAGGAAGAACACCUGUGGCGAAGGCGGCUAGCUGGGCCUGUUCUGACGCUCAUGUGCGAAAGCGUGGGGAGCAAACAGGAUUAGAUACCCCUGUAGUC
rnacentral:rRNA from 1 species